GCGAGCCAAUCCGAAAGGAAAAAAAUCCAAUAUGGCCGCCCCCGUUCGCGGUCGCUUCCUCGCUCGUGGUGCCGCCGGCUUCGCGGCCGCGACGUCGGUUCGAGCGUUUGCGCACUAAUUGCUGCUGCACUGUCUUCUGUCUUUAUUGCCGAUGUAUCAUGUUGGAUCCAUCACAGUGUCAGAAGAUUUUCUGAGCAGUACUUAAAUUGCAGAUGGGGAACGCUGCAUAGUUUCAUCAUAACGUGUCACCAACUAGAACUGCAUCCCUUGUCAUUCGAUGGUUCAGGAAGUCGAAUGUCAGAGUUUGCAGAGUUUAGUUAAACAAGAAACACAGUUGCUCUACACAAACAGUACGUUGUGAAUAGUUUCAGUUGUGACAACAUUACGCAGGCUUAGAUGUCCAUAUCUAUCAGGAAAACAUCAAGGCUACUGGUCCAUACUCCUUUAAGCAGGUGCAGGAUGUGUACUUUGCAAUAAUUCUCUCUCUCUCUCUCUUUUGCACUUACCAUCACUUGGUGAAACCUGUGACGGUGGUGUGGGCCUUCUUGUCGGUGUGCUUGGCGAAGCGGCUGUUGAAAAAUAAAUAAAUAUGCUAUAAAAGGCUUGCAAACAGGUAUUAUAAUAAACUCACUUUGCAUUGCACGUGUGAAUACUGAGCAACAGACUUGUGGAGCAAUUUUAACAUGUGCCUGAGAAAAACUACUCAGUGUUUUCAUCACCAUGGAAUGAGCUCAACACAGAAAGCACUGAGUCUAUGCAUUGAUGUACAAAAAGAAAAGAUAUCUAAACCACGCAACAAAGCUUUCUUGCAUGGAGGUUGGGUUGUUAUGAACUCGUAACGAGCUGCACAAACAGUAGAGGAGUAAGGACGGAAACAUGACAGAGUACAUUCAUACUGCGACAUGCCAAAAGCCAUUUUCGCUGCUCUAUCUCCCUGUUUCUUCAUUUUGCGUUUGCGCAGCAUGCUAUCAGUUCAUCCAUACCAUGUAAACGGUGCAAUCAGACAUUCUUACUGGGAAGCAUGCUAAAUACUACUCUAUAAGCACAAGGUAACAAAAAUUUUUUCCCUAGAGUACAUUUCCUGCAUUUAAGGUUUACGCAC